GGGGUGUAGUGGGUUCUAUAGCUACAUUUUUUCUUAUGAGCACUGAUCUAAUUCAAAAAAUUGAAUUUGAAGAGAGAGAGAGAGAAAAUAUAUGAAAAAAUAUCACUCCCUUUCCCCUAAACUCAAAGAUACUUUCUACUUUCCCUCACCAUGAGAAUAGCUGUUAAGUUGUCAGAUUAUUUUUUCUUAUCAAAACUACCCCACAAAUGUUGAAUACCCAAUAUAGACUUAAAUGAACUAAAAAUCGAGGAAAGGGCCAAUAUAGUCUUAAAAAUCGAGGAAAAGGGCUGUUCAAUUCACUCUCAUCUCAUAUUCUUCUUUAAGGUUGAAACCCUAGGCACCAUUGCUCUGUGCGCAAAGAUCGAUUGGAACCAUAGACUUGUGCUGAAGCUCUGCCCGCUUGAAUCCAGUCAAAGCCCUCUCAAAGCUUCCUGCUUGCAUCGCCAUUUCUCUCUGAGACUCUUCUUCUACCGAAACCCCCUCCUCUCAAAUUCCAUUUUCGUACCAUCUCUCUCUCUCUAGUGCCAUUGACGACAUCGACAUUGACUCAUGUCACAUGUGUCUCCCUCGAGGUUCGUAGGAUGUAAAAAGAAAAAAAAAUCCCUCUAAUCGUACUUAUUGACUUAAGAGUUAGUCGUGACUCAAAACCUAAUCUUUCAACUAUUUUUAGUUGGCGACAGAAGUGGCAGAAUAAGAGCGAGGCGCCACAGCAGUGGUGUAUUGGUGUGCUGAUCAUCCUGACAUUUCUCCUAAGUUCUUGCGGCGUUUUCCCUCUGGUGGUGAUGGGUUUCUGUCCUCAACUCUGAAAUCUCGAAAUCUUGACAUCGGAGGUUUAAAAAAAAAAAAAAAAAUGAUUUCUUCUCUCUAUCUCAACCUCAACCCAUCGCCCAAUCAUUUGGUCACAACUGACCGUCUCGAUCCACAUCAGAAUCAGAGACCCUUCAUUCCUCACUAUCCAGCCUUCAGCUGCACAGUUCCAAUCAUUAAGUCCUCCAAGACCAUCAUCACCUCUUCCUUCUCUAAACGGAUACACCCUUUAAUCCUCACAAGCUUCAGAACCCAAUGCACCACCACAACAUCCCUAACCGUUUAUGAUGAUGAAACCAACCAUUAUCUUAAACCUGAGCAAGUGAAAGAAGAAACUCAGGAAAAGAGCUUCUGGGCUGCCAGCAGUUUGAUUAUAGGCACUGCUGUAGGGCCUGGUAUGCUAGGCUUGCCCUCUGCAACCAUUAGAUCAGGUCCGCUUCCUUCAACCAUUACAAUCGUUCUCUCAUGGGUCUAUGUAAUUUCCUCCAUACUCCUUGUGGCAGAGCUUAGCUUUGCAGCCAUGGAAGAAGAUGGGGUUGAUGAGGUGAGCUUCACUAGUCUUGCAACCAAGGCAUUUGGAGGCCGUUUUGGCGCUUAUGUUGCUGUAGUCUACGCUUGCCUUAGCUUUUCCCUCUUGGUUGCCUGUGUCUCUGGUAUUGGCUCUAUUUUUUCUCAGUGGUUUCCAUGGAUGAAUCCUAUAGUUGCUCAUGCUAUAUUCCCUUGCAUUUCUGGUUUUAUUAUUGGGUUCUUCCCAUUUAAGGCCAUUGAUGCAGCAAAUAGAUUUUUAUGCAUCACCAUGAUUCUGUCCAUAACUGCUCUUGUGGGUGUUGGUUUAUCAGUUGGGAGAUCAAAAAUUUUGGGUUCCCUUGGGUAUGCUUCGUGGGCACCCUCUGCAGUCUUGCCUGCAAUACCUUUAACCGUACUCACAUUGGGGUUCCAUGUAAUCACCCCUUUUAUUUGUAAGAUAGCGGGGAAGACUCUGUUUGAUGCUCGUAGGGCAAUACUGUUUGGUGGAGCUGUGCCUCUGUUCAUGGUCCUGUCAUGGAAUUUGGUUAUUUUGGGGCUUGCAAGGGCGACUACAGCCUGCUCCGAAGAUCCUAUUGGACUCAUACUCUCUAUAAAUGCAUCAGCUUUACCUGCAGUUCAAGGUUUCGCAUUUUCAGCCUUGGCAACUAGUUUGAUAGGCUAUGCUGUCAGCUUCCCAAAACAACUUGUGGAUGCAAUUGAAUUAAUUUCAGGAAGAGAGAAGUCCACUAAUGUUGGUUUCAAUGAUGGUGGAAAUGGAAGGGUGGGGUUCGCUCUAUAUUGGAAAGGGAAAAGAUUUGGAACUCUAGGCCAGGUUUCUUUUGCUGCAUCAAGGUGUAAUUCUGGUUCUACAGCUGAAAAAACAUCUGUAAACAGGGGAUCUAGUUCAGCUAAUAUACCUGUAAUGCUGCUUGUGCUUGGAGUUCCAGUGUUCAUAGCUUCUUUCUUCCGCUCAGCUUUUUCUAAAGCUCUUGAUUUUGCUGGGGUUUAUGCGAAUUGCUUCCUCUUCGGGAUCUUGCCACCAGUAAUGGCUUGGAUUUACCGAUCCAGAAAAAAUUUCAGAUCAUCCUCUUCUGGAGAUGCUAACAUCCUGCCUGGGGGAGAUGCUGCUCUUCUGCUACUCUUUGGCAUUGCUGUCACGUUAGGACUUUGGCAUUAAAUGGUUGAAAGUAAGAAAAAUUAACAAAGAUACAAUGUCAUCUUAGCAGCUUGGAAACGGAGUUAUUGUCCUUAAAUAGAUCAAAUUGUUUCAUUCAAGUUUUCAAGCGUAUUCAGUUAUUCAUAUUUAGUCAUAAUCAGCAGUUUCAUUCUUUCAGAUGUUGAUGUUUACUGGACAAUUAAUGAACAAUAGUAGAACAUAGAUGAGAUUAAAAAAAAAAAAGAAAAAAGAAGAAAAAAAGGGCGUACUCAGUGCACAAGGUCGUACACAGCCUUACCCCCACUUUGCGGAGAGGCUGUUUCCUGACUCAAACCUGGGACCACUUGGGCACAAUGGAGCAGCCUUACCGUUGCACCAAGAUGAACAAGGACCUGUGUGCAGUCCAUUUUUUGGAGUAAAUCUUAUGUCCUCUAUGACAGGUAGUUAGGACUUUGACAAGCAUGCCCCAGACGAAUAUUUGCAGGAGUUUGUGGAGAAGAAGUAUCAGGAAACUGGCUGAAUUCCAAUGAAGAUUGUCCUUUUUACUGAAAUAAAGCUAAGCGGCCCGACAAAAAUGGAAAAAGAACAUUUGAAACCAAGUGGAUUCUGCUCUGCUGUUGGCUGUAUAAUGUCCAUCCUAGAUAUGGAGCUGGAGCAAAACAGCUUACCAGGAAAAGGAAAACGAGUGGAAGCAACUGUGGAAGUCACUUCCAUAUCUCUACCCAGUUUUCUCAAUCUUCUUUUGAUAUUCAGUGAUGGGAAACAAGAAGUUUUGUUCCAUAUGGUGAAUUACUCGUUUGAAUCUAUUGAGAGCCAAAUGGGUUUAGGAGGCAGUAGCUUUGGCUGGCAGGAUGGUUGGAAGCUAUCUAACUGUACUUGGUUAAAUCAAAUAGGUUAAGCAUGAAGAAGAAAAAAUUUCUUCUUGCAAAACCAUGUCAUUGUUAUGCCUUGAUUAUUUAAAUUUAUCAAUUUUCAUUAUUGAAAGGAGAAAAAUUUGUUUUACCUUUGGACAGAUUUAUGUCUGAAACUCAUUGUUUUAAUAGACUAUCAUAGCUUGCUA